rnacentral:rRNA from 1 species
CAGUCGCCACGGUAAUACGUAGGGUGCAAGCGUUAUCCGGAAUUAUUGGGCGUAAAGAGCUCGUAGGCGGUUUGUCGCGUCUGCUGUGAAAACUGGAGGCUCAACCUCCAGCCUGCAGUGGGUACGGGCAGACUAGAGUGCGGUAGGGGAGAUUGGAAUUCCUGGUGUAGCGGUGGAAUGCGCAGAUAUCAGGAGGAACACCGAUGGCGAAGGCAGAUCUCUGGGCCGUAACUGACGCUGAGGAGCGAAAGCGUGGGGAGCGAACAGGAUUAGAUACCCCGGUAGUCCCUGUCUCUUAUAC